rnacentral:rRNA from 1 species
CGGCGGACGGGUGGGUAACGCGUGGGUAACCGUGCCUCAUACAGGGGGAUAACAGUUGGAAACGGCUGCUAAUACCGCAUAAGCGCACAGUACCGCAUGGUACGGUGUGAAAAACUCCGGUGGUAUGAGAUGGACCCGCGUCUGAUUAGGUAGUUGGUGGGGUAACGGCCUACCAAGCCGACGAUCAGUAGCCGACCUGAGAGGGUGACCGGCCACAUUGGGACUGAGACACGGCCCAA